GGGUAACUGUAGCAGGAGAUUAGCUGCUGGGGUAAGACAUUUUACGCUUUAAGGUAUUUAAGUGAGAUCUAGAAGGGGUUUAACCAUGGCCACAGCCAGUACUACAGAGAAUGGGCCGAGUUCGCGUUCCGAGGAGAGCCAAGAAGCGCAAACAAAUGUCAACGCCACAACUGAAUACUGCGCAAAGUUACAGGAAUGGAUGUGGCAGUACUACUGGGGCUAUGUAAAUUGGCAAAGCUGGAUGACUCUGACUACGUUUCCUUUUCCUCCGUGCAAUUUCCCCGUAGCUGGAAACUAUCAAGCGCCGACUGGAACUCCAUGGCCCGUUGGACAACCAACCGAUGCCCGAUAUGGGUACAACUAUCCGGGAAUAGGGUACCCCUUUCCAUUCCCUGCGCCCCCUACUACGGGUUUUCAGACAGGGCAGCAGAUGACAGCUGGGACACUGCCUCAUGAUGCAAGGCCAGUGCAACAACAGAACGGAAACGCACCUCAAGCAGGCCGGGAAUACACCAUCCCUUCUCCCCUCCACAGAUUCCUAGCAGAGACGGUGGACUUCUUUAUUUUAUUUUGCGUCAAGGCAACCAUCAUCCUGUGGAUUAUGCACCUUAGUGGCAUGAAGGACAUCACUAAGUUCGUCACCCACUUCAUAGUUGAGGAGAUAGAUGAGAACACGUCUAUGGAGGACCUGCAGAAGAUGAUGGCAGUAGCUCUGGUCUACAGGGUACUGGUCUGUUUCUAUGAGAUCAUCUGUAUCUGGGGUGCGGGUGGUGCCACCCCAGGGAAGUUCCUCCUUGGUCUUCGGGUCGUGACAUGUAACAGUUCAGUCCUGGUCCGACCUAACCGGGUACUGGUGGUACCGGCAUCUAACGUCACCCUGUCAGCUUCCACGGUGCGGGCGUUGAACAAGAACUUCUCCAUUGCCUUCCUGUUCCCCGUCUUCAUUAUCCUCCUCUUCUUCCAACACAACAGGACUGUCUAUGACGUUGUAGCUGGAACCAUCGUGGUGCAGCGCAGAGGGGCCAGAUAAAAUACCCUAUAGUUGAUCUGAACAGGGUCCUGUUCAGUAUGGAACACCGUAGCAUAACACUUUGCAACAGAAAAUGCCAGCAUCAAUGUUUCACUGCAUCUGUGUUCCGGUGGACCUGCUCUAACCUGGAGCCAAGGCAAGGCCCUUGGUCCUUUUCAUGUACAUAACAAUGGCCAAUUGUGGACUUUAACACCAUGUGACAAAGCAACAGUCCUGAAUGAUGCAGAUGUUGAUUCUGCUCACCACAAGUCUUUAGUGUCACACUCCUGAAGGAAGCACAAUAACAUUAGAGGUACAUUAAACACUGACGACACCCUAGUGUGGGGGUAAGUUUCAGUGGAAAAGCACCAUCAAUUUCCUCUGCUCUUUCUUCCUCUCAUCCCUCCUUCUCCCCCUCUCCUAUUUACCAGUAGUGCCCUGUAGGCCAGUAUGUCCUGGAAAAUUCCUGCUAAUAAACUCCAGUUGGAUGGAAUGAAUGACUAGAACAGUGUAGAGCGGGGUCGACCGAGGACACACUCACACUAGUCAACAAUAAACAACCAUGUUUUUCCAUGGAUUCAUUUCCACUUGAACUCAGUGACACAGACAUGCUCAAAAUACAGUCACACUCAGUCACACACACUCCGAUCACAUGCUCUAAACUGUAGUAGUCAGUCAUCAAAUUCCUCUGCUGUCUUUUCUGGUGACUUGUCUGAGAGAAAGAAACAAUGUACUCCUCUCUGUCUGACUCUCUGUCUGUGUCUCUCUGUCUUGCUCUGUCUCUCGCUCCGUCAAUAACAGUAAACAUUACACACACAAAAGUUC